AUGGGAUUGGGAAUGGGAUUGGGAAGCCACCAGAGCUCUAAUAAUGAAUUAUUUAAGGCCGCAGCUCUCUCUGUGUUUCAUUUUGGGGCGCCACCAGCGCAGGCCCAGCGCGGGAGGUGACACCGCUGUCACCAAGGUCCCCCCGGCAGCGCCACCGCUCCAAGGUUCCACCCUCCGAGCUGCCCCUCUGUGACAUCAGCCCGGGCCGGUGGCACCGCCAGGGCCACCAGAGGUGACAGCUCCACUCCGCCUCUGCCACCUGCGCUGGCACCGAUGGCUCUGCUGGCCCUGCUCGUCCUGCUGGCCCUGGCCGGGCCCGUGGGGGGCACGUGGGACACCUGCAGAGGGACCUGCGGGCUCCGGCCCAUGGCCUUUGACCACAGCUCCGAGCUUCCAGAAUAUUCCCUGGACAGCGAUUACAAACCUAUGGACGGAGCCUCGCAGGACGGGGGUGGCACCGGGGUGCACCCGGGGGCCUGGCCCGGCAUCGUCAGCGUCCAGGCCCGGCUGGAGAACGGCACGUGGCACAUGUGCUCCGGGGCCCUCAUCCACCCCCAGUGGGUGCUCACGGUGGCACACUGCUUCGUGGGGACUGGGUAAGGAGAGGCAGGGACAGGGAUGUCCCCAAAAAUGGGACAGGGAUGUCCCCAAAGCAGGAUCAAGGAUGUCCCCAGAGGGGGAUCAGGGGUGUUAUCAAAACAGGGACAGGAAUGUCCCCACAGGAGGAAUGGGCAUGUCCCCAAGACAGGGACAGGGAUGUUCCCUCAGCAGGGUUGGGGAUGUCCCCACUCAAGGGUCAGGGAUGUCCCCAAAGAAGAGACAGGGAUGUCCCCAAAACAGGGACAGGAAUGUCCCCAUAAGGAAGGACAGGAAUGUCCCCACAGGAGGUUCAGGGAUGUCCCCACUCAAGGGUCAGGGAUGACCCACAGGAGCUUCAGGGAUGUCCCCACUGGAGGGUGAGGGAUGUCCCCACAGUAAGGACAGGAAUGGCCCCACAGGAGGUUCAGGGAUGUCCCCACAGGAGGUUCAGG
rnacentral:lncRNA from 1 species